UACGUAGGUGGCAAGCGUUUGUCCGGAUUUACUGGGCGUAAAGGGCGUGCAGGCGGUUUGUUAAGUUCAGGGUGAAAGCUCCCGGCUCAACUGGGAGAGGUCCUUGGAUACUGGCAGACUUGAGGAGGGUAGAGGAGAGUGGAAUUCCCGGUGUAGUGGUGAUAUGCGUAGAUAUCGGGAGGAACACCAGUGGCGAAGGCGGCUCUCUGGGCCGGUACUGACGCUGAUGUGCGAAAGCGUGGGGAGCAAACAGG
rnacentral:rRNA from 1 species